rnacentral:rRNA from 1 species
CCUACGGGUGGCAGCAGUGAGGAAUAUUGGUCAAUGGACGAGAGUCUGAACCAGCCAAGUAGCGUGAAGGAUGACUGCCCUAUGGGUUGUAAACUUCUUUUAUAUGGGAAUAAAAUGUUCCACGUGUGGGAUUUUGUAUGUACCAUAUGAAUAAGGAUCGGCUAACUCCGGUCCAGCAGCCGCGGUAAUACGGAGGAUCCGAGCGUUAUCCGGAUUUAUUGGGUUUAAAGGGAGCGUAGGUGGAUUGUUAAGUCAGUUGUGAAAGUUUGCGGCUCAACCGUAAAAUUGCAGUUGAAACUGGCAGUCUUGAGUACAGUAGAGGUGGGCGGAAUUCGUGGUGUAGCGGUGAAAUGCUUAGAUAUCACGAAGAACUCCGAUUGCGAAGGCAGUUCACUGGACUGCAACUGACACUGAGGCUCGAAAGUGUGGGUAUCAAACAGGAUUAGAUACCCGAGUAGUC